UCUCUAUAAAACAUUAAAACCUCAACAAAGUCUCUCCCUCUCUGCAUUUUGUUUCUGGGUUUUCGAAUUCAGGGUUCCCCAUUUCUUGAGGGUUGAGGCUGAGGAGCGGCCUGAGAUAUCUGCUGCGCUGUUUUUUUGGCUUUGCCAAGGUGUUGCUUAUUGCUGCUGGAAGUUUCUGUGUUGGUGGUCCUAGUUUUAUUUGCAGUUAGUGUUCUGCAUCUGUUUGGAUUUUCAACAGACAAAAAGAUCAGUUAAGAGUACUGGUCUGAUUUCUAAGGUCUGGAUUACUGCCUUUUGCAUUCUUGCUGCUUUGUAUAUGUAAUUAUGCGGAGGGAGUCUUCAACAUCAGUGAAUCAGCUUUGUUGUUAAAGCUGGAUAGCUGGAGGAUCCUGAACCAAAGUAGAAGAAGACUAACUGCAUAGUUCUCUUUUACCAGUCUUGCUGAAUUGUUCAGU
rnacentral:lncRNA from 1 species